UACGUAGGGGGCUAGCGUUGUCCGGAAUCAUUGGGCGUAAAGCGCGUGUAGGCGGUCCGGUAAGUCCGCUGUGAAAGUCGGGGGCUCAACCUCGAGACGCCGAUGGAAACCAUGUGGCUAGAGUCCGGAAGAGGAGAGUGGAAUUCCUGGUGUAGCGGUGAAAUGCGCAGAUAUCAGGAAGAACACCCGUGGCUAAGGCGGCUCUCUAGUACGGUACUGACGCUGAGACGCGAAAGCGUGGGGAGCGAACAGG
rnacentral:rRNA from 1 species